GGGAACCGAGGGGCCCCCGCCGCCGGGAGCCUCCGCCGCUUUCUGCCGCCACGCCGAGCUCGUGCAGAAUACCCGGGAGCCUGAGCGAUGCCCAAACCCCGGAAAGCCCGUGGCCAUGGUUUUAGUUUUCCAUAGCCCGGUGGUGGUUGGUACGUUCUGGGACGUGCUCCUGGCCUAGGCAACUGCCCUGCCCAAGCUGAGGCUGCAAUCAACCAACACCCAUACCUGGAGAACGGGGACGCGUUAAUAACCAGCACAAAUCCCGCUCUGACGCUGCCACGCCUGACUUCCUGCAUCACACACCUGAGUCUCCUGUACCGGCGUCACCUGAACGCCACGAAGCUGAACUGAGAUGCAGUGUUUCUGAAGCCUGUGCCUGGAUAGCUGAAGGAGACCUUCGCAGCAGCACCUUUUACUGAGAGAUGGAGGAGCUGGAGCUGCACCAGUUACGAUUCUAGAAUUUAGCAAUGCCACCUACUGUCUCAAAUACAGAUUGCAACACAACCGCUGGAGUUUAUCCCUGUCUCAGAACACCACCGUCGUUAUGUACCUGACUGUGAAAAUCAGAUUAAUUAUCAGCUCCUGAACACGAUUUCCAGAAGUGAAGCACAGCUGCCAUAAUUCACUUAAAGCUCCAUUGCUCCUUGUAACAAUAAGUUGAUUGAAUUUCUAAUAAACGCACCACUGGUCAUGUGGCGUUACAGCUCUGAAUAAACUUGGCAAGCAGGAAGGAAAAAAAGCAUCAGUUUUUCCAUGGUUAAGAUGGGAACACCCCACUGACUCAGCUUUUGUGCAUAGAGCCAGUUUGUGGGUGUUCACAGACUAAACUGUCAACUUUGUUCCUGUAGUUGACAAUCCAUUCUUGUAAUGAAUAAACGUUUGGGCUGCACUAUUAUGACAUGUCAAUUCACAUCCCAUUUUCAUUGCCCCCUCUUCCAGAUUUUUUAGUCUCUUAACUUUUGCAGAUUGUAUUUUUUUAUUUUUGCUCCUCUCCUUUGCUGCUUUAUUCAUGUCUCUUGUAGGAAGUAUGACUCCUGAUGGCUGCUGCCAUCUUAAUCUAUGUCCACAUGAGGCUACACAGAUGCCAUGAGCUGUUGCUAAAUCAGGGCUCAAUAUUAAGAGUUGCUUAAAGCAGAAAAUAAACUGUAGUUAUGCAGCUUCUGAAGAGAGAGACUAUUUUUCUUUUCUCAGAGAUUUCAGCCACUAGUAAAAGGUCCUACACUAUCACAUCAGGAAUCCUGAGACCACAAAUUGUUUUUUAUGCUACUGAAGGAAAACCAGAUUGUGGGAUAAAGAGCAGCUAGAAGGUGGAUUUUAUUUUUAUGGAAAAUUAGAACUUUCAAAAAUACUGGUUUACUUUUAUUUGAUUUAGACUGAUUAACUCCAUCAUGACUAAAACAGGACCUACCCACACUGCAAUCAAUACUACAAAUAUUAGGUCAGUUGCCACUGGGAGAAAGAAAGGUUUCACAAUAUUGUACAGUGGUAGUAUCUGUAAGAUAAAUAUAUCAAUAAAUAUUCCUCUAUAAAAGCCCAUGACCGGGACAAAUUUUCUUACUGCAUUGGAAUUGUAAUUAUAUUACAAUGAUUAAUCAAAAAAGCUCUAUUUGUACUCUACUGAAAUUAACAGAGCUAGG